GACGAACGCUGGCGGCGUGCUUAACACAUGCAAGUCGAACGGUGAAGGGAUGAGCUUGCUGGUUCUGGAUGAUUGGCGAACAGGGGAGUAACACGCGAGAAACCUCCCCCCUUCUUCGGGAGAACCGCAUGAAAGAGUGGCUAAUACGGGAUAUUCUGCGCCUGCUGCAUGGUGGGGGUGGGAAAGAGGUUGUUUCUGUGUGGAAUGGGCUCGCGUCUGAUGAGGUUGUGGGUGGGUAGAUGGCCCACCAAGGCGAAGACGGUUAGCCGGUCUGAGAGGGUGAGCGGCCACAGUGGGACUGAGACACGGCCCAGACUCCGACGGGUGGGAGCAGUGGGGGUGCUUCCGCAAUGGACGAGAGCCUGACGGAGCAACGCCGCGGGAGUGUUGACGGCCUUCGGGUUGUGGAGCUCUGUCACUCGGGACGGAAGGCCUUCUUGCGAAUAGGGAGAAGGAUUGACGGUACCGGGAUAGAAAGCCACGGCUAACUACGUG
rnacentral:rRNA from 1 species